AUGACAGUUAGCAUUGGACUUGUGGUUGAUGCUUUGAAUAAGGGUAAUAACAUUUCUGAUCAAUUGCAUGAUGUGGCUAAACAAAAAAUAGAAAUAUCCGAACGACAAGUUGCAGCCAUUGAAAGGCGUAAUGAAAUCUUACAGAAUAGCAUACCUCGAGUGUAUACAGGAGUUGAUGAGUUUAUUUUUGGUGUGCCCCCUGACAUCCGCCUACAAGUUCUUUUUCAAAUGAUGGAUGUUCCUUUUUAUCACUGA